rnacentral:rRNA from 1 species
UACGAAGGGAGCUAGCGUUGUUCGGAAUCACUGGGCGUAAAGCGCACGUAGGCGGAUGUGUCAGUCAGGGGUGAAAUCCCGGAGCUCAACUUCGGAACUGCCUCUGAUACAGCACGUCUUGAGUCCGAGGGAGGUGGGUGGAAUUCCUAGUGUAGAGGUGAAAUUCGUAGAUAUUAGGAAGAACACCAGUGGCGAAGGCGGCCCACUGGCUCGGUACUGACGCUGAGGUGCGAAAGCGUGGGGAGCAAACAGG